rnacentral:rRNA from 1 species
AAAAAGGGACGGCCCGCCCGAGGACCCCUAAACUCUGUUUUUAGUGGAACUUCUGAGUAAAACAAACAAAUAAAUCAAAACUUUCCAACAACGGAUGCUCUUGGUUCUGGCAUCGAUGAAGAACGCAGCAAAAUGCGAAUAAGGUAAUGUGUAAUUGCAGAAUUCAGUGAAUCAUCGAAUCUUUGAACGCACAUUGCGCCCGCCAGUAUUCUGGCGGGCAUGCCUGUUCGAGCGUCAUUUCAACCCUCAAGCUCAGCUUGGUGUUGGGACUCGCGGUAACCCGCGUUCCCCAAAUCGAUUGGCGGUCACGUCGAGCUUCCAUAGCGUAGUAAUCAUACACCUCGUUACUGGUAAUCGUCGCGGCCACGCCGUAAAACCCCAACUUCUGAAUGUUGACCUCGGAUCAGGUAGGAAUACCCGCUGAACUUAAGCAUAUCAAUAAGG